rnacentral:lncRNA from 1 species
AAUCAUCAUUAAAAGAGGGGGAAAAGGGCAAAAGAUAGGGUGCAAAAUCGCUCAAAAAAUAUAAGUGAGGGUGCAAAAUCGCACAAUUAGCAAAAAGAUAAGGGGCAAAAGUGCAAUUGAACACAAAGAUGGGGUGCAAAAUCAGAAAGGGGGCAAAAAGAUGGGGUGCAAAAUCGCUCAAAAAAAAAGAGGGGGUGCAAAAUCGCACAAUUGGCAAAAGAUAGGGGGAAAAAGUGCAAUUAAGCCA